GUUGCACAGAUACACAGAUAAGCGCCAGGUAUCUCAAGAUUUAGUGAUUCAAAGAGAAGAAAGUGUAGGUAGUAUGCCACACGAUGGGUAAGUCUUUCUGAACACGACAAGGGUCUCUGGCCCCAUGAGUGGAGCUGGACAGUAAUUCCUGCUACCAGU
rnacentral:snoRNA from 1 species